AGAACGAACGCUGGCGGCAGGCUUAACACAUGCAAGUCGAACGCCCCGCAAGGGGAGUGGCAGACGGGUGAGUAACGCGUGGGAACCUACCCAAUUCUACGGAACAACUGAGGGAAACUUCAGCUAAUACCGUAUACGCCCUACGGGGGAAAGAUUUAUCGGAGUUGGAUGGGCCCGCGUUGGAUUAGCUAGUUGGUGAGGUAACGGCUCACCAAGGCGACGAUCCAUAGCUGGUCUGAGAGGAUGAUCAGCCACACUGGGACUGAGACACGGCCCAGACUCCGUACGGGAGGCAGCAGUGGGGAAUAGUUGGACAAGUGGGCGCAAGCCUGAUCCAGCCAUCG
rnacentral:rRNA from 1 species